GGGGAGGUAGCUCAGCCUGGGAGAGCACUAGACUGAAGAUCUAGGGGUCGGGGGUUCAAAUCCCCCUCUCCCCA
rnacentral:tRNA from 1 species